UUUGGACCUUUUAGCUGACCCUCUUCAAUCAUUUCUACUCCUUUCUUGGCCUUCUUCACCAUCUUGACUUUUGCUGGUCUCUGCCUGAGUGCGGGGUUGACAUCCUCAUUCAUUAUCUGGGCCAAGCUAAUAGCCUUGGAGUCCACCAGAUCUUGGACGAUAUGCUUAAAAGCUCUGCAACCUUCAAUGCUGUGUCCGGGUGCCCCAGAGUGAAACUCGCACUUGGCACUCUCAUCAUAGUUGGCAGGCCUCCGCUGCUGUUCUA
rnacentral:lncRNA from 1 species